rnacentral:misc_RNA from 1 species
UGUUAUCCCGCUUCCUCUUUUUAGGGUUUUGAAACCCUCUUCCCCAUUUCACUUUCACUUUCUCGAGGAAAAAACCGUCGUAAUUUCGCCGGAAAAAUGCCGCCGAUUAACUUGACGGAAGGAGCAGUAGAGAUGCUAUCGAUCGGAGAAGGUCAUCCCGAGGAGUUUAAACCGGUGCUACAGAUCACAGAUGUUCGGUUGGUGAAUACUCAGAAUCAGACUAACAAUAAUGAACGAUACCGGCUUUUGUUAUCGGACGGAACGCAUAUUCAGCAAGGAAUGUUAGCUACGCAGAAGAACGAUCUAAUUCGGUCUCAACAGAUUCGGAAAGGAACUAUUAUUCAGAUGAAUGAGUUCGUUCGUAAUGUCAUCCAGAAUCGAGUGAUCAUCAUUAUUAUCGAAUUAGAUAUUUUAGUUGACACGUGUGAUCAAAUUGGAGACCCAAAGCAUUAUGUCAGAACUGAUGGUAGUGCUCCUUCGGUGCCACGACCAGCUGCCCCACUGCAGCCUUCCACCAAUCAAUUAGGUGGUGUAAGUGUAAACCCCCAAUCAUUUGCUUCUCUUUCUGCUACUUCAGGCUCAACUCCAAGACCAAAUAUGUCAGGAGGAAUGCAAUCUCCAGAGAUGAACCGUAGCAGUGUUUACAAUACUACCUCUGUUGGGAAUACUGACUCUGGACGAUAUAGUUCAGGUGCACCUCUUUACCCUAGAGCAGAAUCUGGUCCUGCAAUUUCACGGGCUCCGAUGAAUUAUGUGCGUCCACCUCAGCCUUCUUAUCAACAGCCUCCUCAGUCUUCUUAUCAGCAGCCAUCACCAAUGUACUCGAACAGAGGACCUAUAGCCAAGAAUGAAGCACCUCCAAGGAUUGUUCCAAUUGCUGCUCUCAAUCCAUAUCAGGGUCGGUGG